GAUUCGAUACCGGCCUGGCGAACGAAUCGUGCCUCGCUUCGAGUGACACUUACGAGCCUGCGAAACGAAUUAGCCGGUGGCCGCAAAAAAAUCACGACUAUUCCUAGGUCCUUGAGGUCUGAACUCGUCGGUCCAGUGGCAGAAGAGACUAGGAAGACCUUCGAGACAGGGAACGAAUGGACGUCUUGCUCGCGCUAUCUGCAAACAAGGCCGCGAACGAGCACGCAACGAACUAGUCGCCGAGAUUGUUUAAUGGUCCACCUGCCACGUCGAUGAUAUUCGUGGUCGUCGAUCGGAGAAACAUUCUUUCUUUCUUUUUGGGCGAGAGAGAUUUGUCCCCUUUGACCGAGGAGGAGAAGGAGGAGGUUAUGUUCGGAAAAUUCGUGACGUACGAGAUAUAAAAAUAGUGAGUUCAUUUUUACGUUGACCUCCAAUCAUUUUUAACCUGUCAAUUAAUAGCGUGACGUAGUUGAGAAGGAAGGAAGCAUAACCUACAAACUUUGCAACGAUAUAAAACAAUUACCAACAUGUUUCUUCCAAAUGAAAUGUAUCAGUGCAUCAAAAUAAAUAUCUAGCCACAA